rnacentral:rRNA from 1 species
UACGGAGGGGGCGAGCGUUAUUCGGAAUUAUUGGGCGUAAAGGGCGCGUAGGCGGCUGUACAAGUCAAAGGUGAAAUCCCUCGGCUCAACUGAGGAACUGCCUUUGAAACUGUACGCUUGAGGCCGGGAGGGGUAGCGGAAUUCCCAAUGUAGCGGUGAAAUGCGUAGAUAUUGGGAGGAACACCAGUGGCGAAGGCGGGUCUCUGGACAGUUCCUGACGCUGAGGCACGAAGGUCAGGGGAGCAAACGGG